rnacentral:lncRNA from 1 species
GUGGAAACGUUGUUGUUAAUGAAUGAAUGGCUGAAGUGAAAGCAGCUUACAUGGAUUAUUCUUUGGAAGAGUUCAGACUGGUUACAGCUUGAUCAAUUUUAAUGAUGUUUCAAAAAAAAAGUUUCUGGUUUAUUUUUCUACUCUGCUUUUUAUUUCAUUGAUUUUAAUUGAUUUUACUUCUUAAAAUUAUUAAUUUCUUUUUUCCGUUUGUUUUGAGUUCCGUCUGCUUUUUUUC